rnacentral:lncRNA from 1 species
AACUUAGGUUCCAAAGAUGACAAAAGUUUCUAAUUUAUUUGCAUAGAAACACAAAUAUGGCCACGGACAAUGUUUCCACCAAAAAGCUUGAUCUCCGCUUUUAGUUAGCACAUCAUGCUUAGAAUGGUGUAAAUCCUUAAGUAGGCCAUUUGAAAUAGGCCUGGUGUCUUGCGCUAGCAGCAGUGGUAGAUUUGGGACUCUCAAAUUUCAGCGGCACAGUGUGCAAUGCUAAAAUUUGGUGCCCCCUGCCUCUUGCACUCCCAGUGCAGCUGAACCAGCUUUGCUGCCCUAUAACCACCUCUGCCAGCAGAUUCUCCCUGCACUGCCCUUCUAAGACCCUACAUGUGUGGAAGGAUGCACAAGGGCCAGGAUAGACUUGGAAGGGACUUUGAGGAACAUCUAGUUCAACCGCUGCAAUGCUGGAAUAUGCACUUGUCUCAUAUGGGGAUUGAACCUGCAACAUUGACAUUGGGGCAACCCAGGAGAUGGAAGGAAGAUGGAUCUCUCCACGGUGAUGCUGACAUUUGUGAUCUGCUUCCUGCUUUCCCUGGUGGUGCUCAUUUAUCGUGAUGUCCGAAGAACAGAUAUCCCUGCAGGAAUCGAUGGACCUUUCAAACUCUUCCUAAUUUCCAUUAUGUUACACUCAUCCUUGCGUAUGGUAAGUUGGAUGGACUUUGAACCUGGAGUUUCUGUGGGGCAGCUCAGUCGCUAGAGCAUGAGACUCUUAAUCUCAGGGUUAUCUGCUCGAGCCCCACGUUGGGCAAAAUAUUUCUGCAUUGCAGGGGGUUGGACUAGAUGGCCCUUGUGGUCCCUUCCAGUUCUACAAAUUCUAUGAUUCUGCUAUUUUUUUAGUUGUAUGGGGGCUGGCCAGCCAGGAAUGGUUCAAACAGGCAACAUGUUUUAGGAGGUGCAACCCCACCCACCCCAUCAUAGAAAAACGGAAUUGUAGAGUUGGAAGGGACCACAAACCCAAGCACCACUCUGCAAGGCAGGAAUCUGUCACCAAAUGUGGAACUCGAACCCAGGACCCUAGGAUUAAGAAUCUCAUGCUCUAUCUACUGAGCUAGCCAGCCUGAAGGAUUCAUGUAUUAUAAAUAGAGAUCUGUGCAAAAAACCCUCUCCCAAAUUUCCAGUUCUCUCUCCUCCACAGUUCAAAUACAGUGUUGAUCAUCAAUGUGACUUCUGGAGGAUGCUUUGUGCUACGACUUCUAG